rnacentral:rRNA from 1 species
UACGGAGGGAGCUAGCGUUGUUCGGAAUUACUGGGCGUAAAGCGCACGUAGGCGGCUUUGUAAGUUAGAGGUGAAAGCCCGGGGCUCAACUCCGGAACUGCCUUUAAGACUGCAUCGCUUGAAUCCGGGAGAGGUGAGUGGAAUUCCGAGUGUAGAGGUGAAAUUCGUAGAUAUUCGGAAGAACACCAGUGGCGAAGGCGGCUCACUGGACCAGUAUUGACGCUGAGGUGCGAAAGCGUGGGGAGCAAACAGG